UCAUGCCUCCAGCUUCCACUCCAGACACACCACACGAUCCAUCGUCUACAGCCAAGCGCUGAGGUACAACCGCAUCUGCUCCAACCCCUCAGACAGAGACCAACACCUACAAGAUCUUCACCAAGCAUUCUCAAAACUACUAUACCCACACAAGGAAAUAAAGAAACAAAUCAACAGAGCCAGACGUGUACCCAGAAGCCUCCUGCUACAAGCCAGGCCCAAAAAAGAAACCAACAGAACUCCACUGGCCAUCACCUACAGUCCUCAGCUUAAACCUCUCCAACACAUCAUCAGUGAUCUACAACCCAUCCUGGACAAUGAUCCCUCGCUUUCACAGACCUUGGGAGGCAGGUCAGUCCUCGCCCACAGACAACCCGCCAACCUUAAGCAUAUUCUCACCAGCAACCACGCACCGCACCAUAACAACUCUAACUCAGGAACCAACCCAUGCAACAAACCUCGCUGCCAACUCUGCCCACAUAUCUACACCAGCAACACCAUCAAAGGACCUAACCAGAUCAGCUACAUCAUCACUGGCUCAUUCACCUGCACGUCCACCAAUGUUAUAUAUGCCAUCAUGUGCCAGCAAUGCCCCUCUGCUAUGUACACUGGUCAGACUGGACCGUCACUACACAAGAGGAUAAAUGGACACAAGUCAGAUAUCAGGAAUGGCAAUAUACAAAAACCUGUAGGAGAACACUUCAACCUCCCUGGCCACACAAUGUAAAGGUAAAGGUAGCCAUCUUACAGCAAAAAAACUUCAGGACCAGACUCCAAAGAGAAACUGCUGAGCUCCAGUUCAUUUGCAAAUUUGACACCAUCAGAUCAGGAUUAAACAAAGACUGUGAAUGGCUAUCCAACUACAGAAGCAGUUUCUCCUCCCUUGGUGUUCACACCUCAGCUGCUAGCAGAGCACCUCACCCUCCCUGAUUGAACUAACCUCGUUAUCUCCAUACUGAUUUAUACCUGCCUCUGGAAAUUUCCAUUACUUGCAUCUGAAGAAGUGAGGUUCUUACCC
rnacentral:lncRNA from 1 species